rnacentral:rRNA from 1 species
CCUACGGGAGGCAGCAGUGAGGAAUAUUGGUCAAUGGACGGAAGUCUGAACCAGCCAUGCCGCGUGCAGGAAGACGGCUCUAUGAGUUGUAAACUGCUUUUGUACAAGGGUAAACCUGAAUACGUGUAUUCAGCUGAAAGUACUGUACGAAUAAGGAUCGGCUAACUCCGUGCCAGCAGCCGCGGUAAUACGGAGGAUCCAAGCGUUAUCCGGAUUUAUUGGGUUUAAAGGGUGCGUAGGCGGGUUGAUAAGUUAGAGGUGAAAUGUCCGGGCUUAACUCGGGAACUGCCUCUAAUACUGGUGGUCUAGAGAGUGAAUGCGGUAGGCGGAAUGUAUGGUGUAGCGGUGAAAUGCUUAGAGAUCAUACAGAACACCGAUUGCGAAGGCAGCUUACCAAUCUAUAUCUGACGUUGAGGCACGAAAGCGUGGGGAGCAAACAGGAUUAGAUACCCUUGUAGUC